ACUCCUACGGGAGGCAGCAGUAGGGAAUAUUGGUCAAUGGGCGGAAGCCUGAACCAGCCAUGCCGCGUGCAGGAAGACGGCCCUCUGGGUUGUAAACUGCUUUUAUACGGGAAGAAAAUGGCCUUGCGAGGCAAAUUGACGGUACCGUAGGAAUAAGCCACGGCUAACUACGUGCCAGCAGCCGCGGUAAUACGUAGGUGGCGAGCGUUAUCCGGAUUUAUUGGGUUUAAAGGGUGCGUAGGCGGCUUAAUAAGUCGGUGGUUAAAGGUAGCAGCUUAACUGUUUUACAUGCCAUCGAUACUGUUGAGCUUGAGUUAUCAGAAGGCAGGCGGAAUUUCUGGUGUAGCGGUGAAAUGCAUAGAUACCAGGAGGAACUCCUAUUGCGAAGGCAGCUUGCUGCAGAUAAACUGACGCUGAGGCACGAAAGUGUGGGGAUCAAACAGGAUUAGAUACCCUGGUAGCUACG
rnacentral:rRNA from 1 species